rnacentral:rRNA from 1 species
UACAGAGGGUGCGAGCGUUUGUCCGGAAUCACUGGGCGUAAAGGGCGCGUAGGCGGCCGAGUAAGCGUGCGGUGAAAGCCCGGGGCUCAACCCCGGGUCGGCCGUGCGAACUGCUGGGCUUGAGCACUGUAGAGGCAGGUGGAAUUCCGGGUGUAGCGGUGGAAUGCGUAGAGAUCCGGAAGAACACCCGUGGCGAAGGCGGCUCUCGUGGA